CGGCAGGCCUAAUACAUGCAAGUCGAGGGGCAGCGGGGUAGCAAUACUGCCGGCGACCGGCGCACGGGUGCGUAACACGUAUGCAACCUACCUUAAACUGGGAGAUAGCCCGGGGAAACUCGGAUUAAUACCCCAUAAUACAUUUGGAACACAUGUUUUGAUUGUUAAAGAUUUAUCGGUUUAAGAUGGGCAUGCGUUCGAUUAGCUAGUUGGUGAGGUAAUGGCUCACCAAGGCUACGAUCGAUAGGGGGUCUGAGAGGAUGAUCCCCCACACUGGUACUGAGAUACGGACCAGACUCCUACGGGAGGCAGCAGUAGGGAAUAUUGGUCAAUGGAGGCAACUCUGAACCAGCCAUGCCGCGUGUAGGAAGAAGGCGUUCUGCGUUGUAAACUACUUUUGAUUGGGAACAAAUGACUCUUGCGAGAGUAGCUGAGUGUACCAAUAGAAUAAGCCACGGCUAACUACGUGCCAGCAGCCGCGGUAAUGCGUAGGUGGCAAGCGUUGUCCGGAUUUAUUGGGUUUAAAGGGUGCGUAGGCGGCUUGAUAAGUCAGUGGUGAAAGCCGAUCGCUUAACGAUCGAACUGCCAUUGAUACUGCCAGGCUUGAGUAUAGUUGAGGUAGGCGGAAUUGACAGUGUAGCGGUGAAAUGCAUAGAUAUUGUCAAGAACACCAAUUGCGAAGGCAGCUUACUAAAGUAUAACUGACGCUGAGGCACGAAAGUGCGGGGAUCAAACAGGAUUAGAU
rnacentral:rRNA from 1 species